GAGGGUGUAGUGCAGUGGUAGAGCAUGUGCUUAGUGUGCACGAGGUUCUGGGUUCAAUCCCCACUACUUCCA
rnacentral:tRNA from 1 species